ensembl:lncRNA ITGA9-AS1 ITGA9 antisense RNA 1
GAUGCCUGAAACUGCGAUAGUACCAAACUCUGUAUAUACUAUGUUUUUCCCUAUACAUACAUAUCUAUGAUAAAGUUUAAUUUAUAAACUAGGCACAGUAAUAGAGUAACACAAUAAUAAAAUAGAACAAUUAUAACAAUACGCCAGCGUCGCUUCUCUUCUGCUUUGGGGCCACUAUUCAUUCAAGUAAGGGUGACUUGAACCCAAGCACCAUAAUACCACUGCAGUCGAGCUGUUAACCAAGACGAAGUGACUAACGGGCAGGCCGCGUGGCUGAUUCACAUCCCAGGUGGGACGGAGCAGGAUGUGUAAGAUUUCAUUACGCUACUCAAAACGGCAUGCAACUUAACACUUACAAAAUAUUUAUUUCUGGAAUUUUCCAUUUAAUAUUUUCAGACUGCAGUUGACAGCAGAUAACUGAAAGCUCGGAAAGCGAAACCGUGGAUAAGCAGGGGAACUGUGGCAUCCCAUUUAAAAUUGCUUCUGAAGAGAAGCAUGAGGUUACAUCUGUAAUCUCCCUGCAGCAGAGUCAACUGCAUAAGAAACCAAAAGACACACCUGCUCCAUGCCAGGUUAGUACCCACCCAUCACCCUCAUAAUUUUGCCAAAACUUUAGAUAUGUUUGUGAGUAUUAGCCAAGUAUGUGUAUUAAAAAUCUGUCUUCCCAGAA